rnacentral:rRNA from 1 species
GCGCAAAUUACCCACUCCCAGAACGGGGAGGUAGUGACGAAAAAUAACAAUACGGGACUCUUUUGAGACCCCGUAAUUGGAAUGAGUACACUCUAAAUCCUUUAACGAGGAUCCAUUGGAGGGCAAGUCUGGUGCCAGCAGCUGCGGUAAUUCCAGCUCCAAUAGCGUAUAUUAAAGUUGUUGCGGUUAAAAAGCUCGUAGUUGGAUCUCAGUUCCAGACGGGUGGUCCGCCUACCGGUGGUUACUGCCUGUUCUGAACAGCCAGCCGGUUUCUCUUGAUGAUCUUCACCGGUUGUCUUGGGUGACCGGCAAGUUUACUUUGAAAAAAUUAGAGUGCUCAAAGCAGGCGUGACGCCUGAAUAAUGGUGCAUGGAAUAAUGGAAUAGGACCUCGGUUCUAUUUUGUUGGUUUUCGGAACACGAGGUAAUGAUUAAGAGGGACAGACGGGGGCAUUCGUAUUGCGACGCUAGAGGUGAAAUUCUUGGACCGUCGCAAGACGAACUACUGCGAAAGCAUUUGCCAAGAAUGUUUCCAUUAAUCAAGAACGAAAGUUAGAGGUUCGAAGGCGAUCAGAUACCGCCCUAGUUCUAACCAUAAACGAUGCCAGCCAGCGAUCCGGCUGUGUUCCUCAAAUGACACGCCGGGCAGCUUCCGGGAAACCAAAGCUUUUGGGUUCCGGGGGAAGUAUGGUUGCAAAGCUGAAACUUAAAGGAAUUGACGGAAGGGCACCACCAGGAAUGGAGCCUGCGGCUUAAUUUGACUCAACACGGGGAAACUUACCCGGCCCGGACACAGGAAGGAUUGACAGAUUAAGAGCUCUUUCUUGAUUCUGUGGGUGGUGGUGCAUGGCCGUUCUUAGUUGGUGGAGUGAUUUGUCUGGUUAAUUCCGAUAACGAACGAGACUCUAGCCUACUAAAUAGACGCUCCGAUCAUUUAUAGUCGGACGUUCUUCUUAGAGGGACAAGCGGCGUUUAGCCGCACGAGACAGAGCAAUAACAGGUCUGUGAUGCCCUUAGAUGUCCGGGGCCGCACGCGCGCUACAUUGAAGGAAUCAGCGUGUGCUUUCCCUGUCCGACAGGACUGGGUAACCCGUUGAACCUCUUUCGUGCUGGGGAUAGAAAUUUGGAACUAUUUUUCUUGAACGAGGAAUUCCCAGUAAGCACGAGUCAUCAGCUCGUGUUGAUUACGUCCCUGCCCUUUGUACACACCGCCCGUCGCUACUACCGAUUGAAUGAUUUAGUGAGGUCUUCGGACUGGCGCUCGAUACGGCCUUCGGGUCGCGCCGAUGUGCCGGA